rnacentral:rRNA from 1 species
AAACCGUUCAGGGGUAAACCUGAGAAACCCGAAAGUUCGAAUGGGGAGAUUCAAUGUCAGCGAUUUUGGUACGUGUGCGGUUCGCGAUGCCGGAGACUUCGGUCUCAUGGUACGCGUCCGCAUGUUUUUUAUUGCCAGAAUCGUCGGCGUGCACUUCUCCCCUAGUAGGACGUCGCGACCCGUUGGGUGUCGGUCUACGACCCGGGCGGUAGCCUGUCUCGUGUGCGCUUCAUCGCGUUACGCGGGGCAGACCCCUGUGUGUCUGGCCGGCUGCUCGGCGGUACUCGCACGAUAUCUGGCCGCAAAUAUUCGAACUGCGUCCGGCCCGUCGCAAGCGAGGCAAGUGUUCCCGGCUGUACGGAUCUAAUGCCGUCACCGGGCCUUGCCAGCUGUUGGUUGACGGUGCCCUAGGACAGGCCAAUAAAAUUAUGAUAUCGGUCGGCGACGCUACUGCUUUGGGUACUUUCAGGACCCGUCUUGAAACACGGACCAAGGAGUCUAACAUGUGCGCGAGUCAUUGGGAACUAAUAAGCCUAAAGGCGCAAUGAAAGUGAAGGUCGGCCUUGCGCCGACCGAGGGAGGAUGGGCCGCGUCACGAUGCGGUCCCGCACUCCCGGGGCGUCUCGUUCUCAUUGCGAGAAGAGGCGCACCCAGAGCGUACACGUUGGGACCCGAAAGAUGGUGAACUAUGCCUGGUCAGGACGAAGUCAGGGGAAACCCUGAUGGAGGUCCGUAGCGAUUCUGACGUGCAAAUCGAUCGUCGGAACUGGGUAUAGGGGCGAAAGACUAAUCGAACUAUCUAGUA